rnacentral:rRNA from 1 species
CCUACGGGUGGCUGCAGUGGGGAAUAUUGGGCAAUGGACGCAAGUCUGACCCAGCAACGCCGCGUGAAGGAAGAAGGCUUUCGGGUUGUAAACUUCUUUUAAGGGGGAAGAGCAGAAGACGGUACCCCUUGAAUAAGCCAUGGCUAACUACGUGCCAGCAGCCGCGGUAAUACGUUGGUGGCAAGCGUUGUUCGGAAUUACUGGGUGGAAAGGGCGUGGAGGCGGGGUGACAAGUCAGAUGUGAAAUUCACGGGCUCAACCCGUGAGCUGCAUUUGAAACUGUUUGCCUUGAGUGUCGGAGAGGUAAACGGAAUGCCUUGUGUAGCGGUGAAAUGCGUAGAUAUAAGGAAGAACACCAGUGGCGAAGGCGGAUUACUGGACGGUAACUGACGGUGAGGCACGAAAGCGUGGGGAGCAAACAGGAUUAGAUACCCGAGUAGUC